rnacentral:rRNA from 1 species
GGGGAAUUUUCCGCAAUGGGCGAAAGCCUGACGGAGCAAUACCGCGUGAGGGAUGACGGCCUAUGGGUUGUAAACCUCUUUUUUCAGGGAGGAAUCAAUGACGUGUACCCUGAAGAAUAAGCAUCGGCUAACUCCGUGCCAGCAGCCGCGGUAAGANCGGAGGAUGCAAGUGUUAUCCGGAAUCACUGGGCGUAAAGCGUCUGUAGGUGGUCAAAUAAGUCAACUGUUAAAUCUUGAGGCUCAACCUCAAAAUCGCAGUCGAAACUAUUAGACUAGAGUAUAGUAGGGGUAAAGGGAAUUUCCAGUGGAGCGGUGAAAUGCGUAGAGAUUGGAAGGAACACCGAUGGCGAAGGCACUACUGCUGGGCCGACACUGACACUGAGAGACGAAAGCUAGGGGAGCGAAUGGGAUUAGAUACCCCAGUAGUC